UACAGAGGUGCCAAGCGUUAGGCGGAAUCACUGGGCUUAAAGCGCGUGUAGGUGGACGGGUAAGUAUCUUGUGAAAUCCCACGGCUCAACCGUGGAACUGCUGGAUAUACUGCUUGUCUUGAGGCACUUAGGGGCAGCUGGAACAAAUGGUGGAGCGGUGAAAUGCGUAGAUAUCAUUUGGAACGCCAAAGGCGAAAGCAGGCUGCUGGGAGUGAUCUGACACUGAGACGCGGAAAGCCAGGGGAGCAAACGGG
rnacentral:rRNA from 1 species